GAUGAACGCUGGCGGCGUGCCUAAUACAUGCAAGUCGAGCGAACGGACGAGAAGCUUGCUUCUCUGAUGUUAGCGGCGGACGGGUGAGUAACACGUGGAUAACCUACCUAUAAGACUGGGAUAACUUCGGGAAACCGUAGCUAAUACCGGAUAAUAUUUUGAACCGCAUGGUUCAAAAGUGAAAGACGGUCUUGCUGUCACUUAUAGAUGGAUCCGCGCUGCAUUAGCUAGUUGGUAAGGUAACGGCUUACCAAGGCAACGAUGCAUAGCCGACCUGAGAGGGUGAUCGGCCACACUGGAACUGAGACACGGUCCAGACUCCUACGGGAGGCAGCAGUAGGGAAUCUUCCGCAAUGGGCGAAAGCCUGACGGAGCAACGCCGCGUGAGUGAUGAAGGUCUUCGGAUCGUAAAACUCUGUUAUUAGGGAAGAACAUAUGUGUAAGUAACUGUGCACAUCUUGACGGUACCUAAUCACAAAGCCACGGCUAACUACGUG
rnacentral:rRNA from 1 species